AUAAAGGCGAACACACGGUGAGCUCUUCCCUACGCCCGAAUCGUCUCCCUUGGUCUGUUAUACUUCCUCUCUCAUGGCGAAGUCUUCCAUCGCCUGCGCAGUGCUUCUCCUGUUACUUCUGGUGGAGAUGGAUAUCUCAGCUGUCGCAGAAAGAGAAAUCAAUUGUGAGGCGAAGUGUUCGCACCGUUGCUCCAAGGCAUCAAGGCACAAGAUGUGCAUGAGAGCUUGCAUCGACUGCUGUCACAAGUGCCACUGCGUCCCGCCCGGUACAUACGGCCACAAAGAGGAAUGCCCCUGUUAUGCUCACAUGAAGACUCGCCAUGGUAAACCCAAAUGCCCUUAGAAGCUAAACCCACAUAAUCCUAUAACUAGCAAUAUUGCUCUCUAAUCUCGAAAUAAAAGAACCGUACUGUUCUAUGUGCUACUUACUGAGUGCCACUUCAAUGUGUGAUCCUAAUCUGUAGCCCUAAAUAAUUAGUAAAGUCUGGUCUUAUAUACUCUA